rnacentral:rRNA from 1 species
GAUGAACGCUGGCGGCGUGCCUAAUACGUGCAAGUCGAGCGAACAGAUGAGGAGCUUGCUCCUCUGACGUUAGCGGCGGACGGGUGAGUAACACGUGGAUAACCUACCUAUAAGACUGGGAUAACUUCGGGAAACCGGAGCUAAUACCGGAUAAUAUAUUGAACCGCAUGGUUCAAUAGUGAAAGACGGUUUUGCUGUCACUUAUAGAUGGAUCCGCGCCGCAUUAGCUAGUUGGUAAGGUAACGGCUUACCAAGGCAACGAUGCGUAGCCGACCUGAGAGGGUGAUCGGCCACACUGGAACUGAGACGCGGUCCAGACUCCUACGGGAGGCAGCAGUAGGGAAUCUUCCGCAAUGGGCGAAAGCCUGACGGAGCAACGCCGCGUGAGUGAUGAAGGUCUUCGGAUCGUAAAACUCUGUUAUUAGGGAAGAACAAAUGUGUAAGUAACUAUGCACGUCUUGACGGUACCUAAUCAGAAAGCCACGGCUAACUACGUG